AUACGGAGGACGCGAGCGUUAUCCGGAUUCAUUGGGUUUAAAGGGUGCGCAGGCGGCCGUGCAAGUCAGCGGUGAAAGCCCGGGGCUCAACCCCGGAAGUGCCGUUGAUACUGCAUGGCUGGAAUGCGGUCGAGGCGGGCGGGAAGUGGGGUGUGGCGGGGGAAUGCGAAGAUAUGGCCCAGAAAGCCGAUAGCGGAGGCAGCUCGCCAGGCCUUCAUUGUCGCUCGGGCACGAAAGCGUGGGGAUCGAACAGGAUUAGAUCCCCUGGUAGUCCACGCCGUAAACGAUGGGCGCUCGUCGUCGGCGGCAGACAGUCGGCGGCCAAGCGAAAGCGAUAAGCGCCCCACCUGGGGAGUACGGUCGCAAGGCUGAAACUUAAAGGAAUUGACGGGG
rnacentral:rRNA from 1 species